CAGCCGCCACGGUAAUACGAAGGGGGCUAGCGUUGUUCGGAUUUACUGGGCGUAAAGCGCACGUAGGCGGACUUUUAAGUCAGGGGUGAAAUCCCGGGGCUCAACCCCGGAACUGCCUUUGAUACUGGGAGUCUUGAGUUCGAGAGAGGUGAGUGGAAUUGCGAGUGUAGAGGUGAAAUUCGUAGAUAUUCGCGGGAACACCAGUGGCGAAGGCGGCCCACUGGCUCGAUACUGACGCUGAGGCACGAAAGCGUGGGGAGCAAACAGGAUUAGAUACCCCCGUAGUCCCUGUCUCUUAUAC
rnacentral:rRNA from 1 species